CCUACGGGGGGCAGCAGUGGGGAAUAUUGCACAAUGGGGGAAACCCUGAUGCAGCGACGCCGCGUGAGUGAAGAAGUAUUUCGGUAUGUAAAGCUCUAUCAGCAGGAACGAGACAAGACGGUACCUGACUAAGAAGCCCCGGCUAACUACGUGCCAGCAGCCGCGGUAAUACGUAGGGGGCAAGCGUUAUCCGGAUUUAUUGGGUUUAAAGGGUGCGUAGGCGGAAGGUUAAGUCAGCGGUCAAAUGUCGGUGCUCAACACCGGCCUGCCGUUGAAACUGGUCUUCUUGAGUGAGCGAGAAGUAU
rnacentral:rRNA from 1 species